GACGAACGCUGGCGGCGUGCUUAACACAUGCAAGUCGAACGGAAAGGCCCUGCUUUUGUGGGGUGCUCGAGUGGCGAACGGGUGAGUAACACGUGAGUAACCUGCCUUUGACUUUGGGAUAACUUCAGGAAACUGGGGCUAAUACCGGAUAGGAGCUCCUGCUGCAUGGUGGGGGUUGGAAAGUUUUGGCGGUUGGGGAUGGACUCGCGGCUUAUCAGCUUGUUGGUGGGGUAGUGGCUUACCAAGGCUUUGACGGGUAGCCGGCCUGAGAGGGUGACCGGCCACAUUGGGACGGAGAUGCGGCCCAGACUCCUACGGGAGGCAGCAGUGGGGAAUAUUGCACGAUGGGCGGAAGCAUGUUGCAGCAACGCCGCGUGCGGGAUGACGGCCUUCGGGUUGUAAUCCUCUUUCGCCUGUGACGAAGCGUGAAUGACGGUAAUGGGUAAAGAAGCACCGGCUAGCUACGUG
rnacentral:rRNA from 1 species